AUUGAACGCUGGCGGCAGGCUUAACACAUGCAAGUCGAGCGGGGGAAGGUAGCUUGCUACCGGACCUAGCGGCGGACGGGUGAGUAAUGCUUAGGAAUCUGCCUAUUAGUGGGGGACAACAUCUCGAAAGGGAUGCUAAUACCGCAUACGUCCUACGGGAGAAAGAAGGGGAUCUUCGGACCUGGCGCUAAUAGAUUAGCCUCAGGCGGAUUAGCUAGUUGGUGGGGGAAAGGCCUACCAAGGCGAGGAUCGGUAGCGGGUCUGAGAGGAUGAUCCGCCACACUGGGACUGAGACACGGCCCAGACUCCUACGGGAGGCAGCAGUGGGGAAUAUUGGACAAUGGGGGGAACCCUGAUCCAGCCAUGCCGCGUGUGUGAAGAAGGCCUUAUGGUUGUAAAGCACUUUAAGCGAGGAGGAGGCUACUUUAGUUAAUACCUAGAGAUAGUGGACGUUACUCGCAGAAUAAGCACCGGCUAACUCUGUGCCAGCAGCCGCCGUAACAC
rnacentral:rRNA from 1 species